CUACGGGCGGCAGCAGUGGGGAAUAUUGGACAAUGGGCGAAAGCCUGAUCCAGCCAUGCCGCGUGUGUGAAGAAGGCCUUCGGGUUGUAAAGCACUUUCAGUGGGGAAGAAAGCCUUGGGGCUAAUACCCUCGAGGAAGGACAUCACCCACAGAAGAAGCACCGGCUAACUCCGUGCCAGCAGCCGCGGUAAUACGGAGGGUGCGAGCGUUAAUCGGAAUUACUGGGCGUAAAGCGCGCGUAGGCGGUCUGAUAAGCCGGUUGUGAAAGCCCCGGGCUCAACCUGGGAACGGCAUCCGGAACUGUCAGGCUAGAGUGCAGGAGAGGAAGGUAGAAUUCCCGGUGUAGCGGUGAAAUGCGUAGAGAUCGGGAGGAAUACCAGUGGCGAAGGCGGCCUUCUGGACUGACACUGACGCUGAGGUGCGAAAGCGUGGGUAGCAAACAGGAUUAGAUACCCCGGUAGUC
rnacentral:rRNA from 1 species